GAUGAACGCUAGCUACAGGCUUAACACAUGCAAGUCGAGGGGCAGCAUGGACAUAGCUUGCUAUGUUUGAUGGCGACCGGCGCACGGGUGCGUAACACGUAUCCAAUCUGCCCGUUACUCGGGGAUAGCCUUCUGAAAGGAAGAUUAAUACCCGAUGGCAUGUAUUUCCGGCAUCGGAGAUACAUUAAAGAUUUAUCGGUAACGGAUGAGGAUGCGUACGAUUAGCUUGUUGGCGGGGUAACGGCCCACCAAGGCGACGAUCGUUAGGGGUUCUGAGAGGAAGGUCCGCCACACUGGAACGGAGACACGGUCCAGACUCCUACGGGAGGCAGCAGUGAGGAAUAUUGGUCAAUGGUCGGGAGACUGAACCAGCCAAGUAGCGUGAAGGAUGACUGCCCUACGGGUUGUAAACUUCUUUUGUUUGGGAAUAAAAGACGCUACGUGUAGCGUUCUGCAUGUACCUUACGAAUAAGCAUCGGCUAAUUCCGUGCAGCAGCCGCGGUAACAC
rnacentral:rRNA from 1 species